AUUGAACGCUGGCGGCAGGCCUAACACAUGCAAGUCGAGCGGGGUUUUCGGACCUAGCGGCGGACGGGUGAGUAAUGCGUAGGAAGCUGCCCGAUAGAGGGGGAUACCAGUUGGAAACGACUGUUAAUACCGCAUAAUGUCUACGGACCAAAGUGUGAGACCUUCGGGCCACAUGCUACCGGAUGCGCCUACGUGGGAUUAGCUAGUUGGUGAGGUAAUGGCUCACCAAGGCGACGAUCUCUAGCUGGUUUGAGAGGAUGAUCAGCCACACUGGAACUGAGACACGGUCCAGACUCCUACGGGAGGCAGCAGUGGGGAAUAUUGGACAAUGGGCGCAAGCCUGAUCCAGCCAUGCCGCGUGUGUGAAGAAGGCCUUCGGGUUGUAAAGCACUUUCAGCGAGGAGGAAGGGUGGUGUGUUAAUAGCACAUCAUUUUGACGUUACUCGCAGAAGAAGCACCGGCUAACUCUGUGCCAGCCGCCGCGGUAACAC
rnacentral:rRNA from 1 species